AGACAAUAAAAGCUGCAGGGCAAACGGAGCUGGGAGGACAUGAGGUUGUCUGGGCCAACAACUGAAGAGUAUCACUUGACUUGCAUGAGGCACUUGACAUACGUUUGCUGAAGGAAGUCAAAGAGGAGAGCCCAGACAGACAGAAGAUGUGGAAUGAUGUGCUGCCCCAAAGCAGACUCUAGGAUUGCUACUUUCUUGACUUUCACAAGCAAGGAAGGAAGCGGGAAGAGGGAGAGGAGAAACCGGUGGCUUCUCCAACCCCAGAGGGAGCCAGUCCACACCGUAACUCCUCAGGAACCUAACUGGAAACAGAAGAAUAAAAGCCGGAAUGAUCUGAGGAAGGAUAGGAGCCUCAAUGUGAGGGCUCCUCUGGGCUGUCAACUUGACUACAUCUGGAAUCAACUAAAACCCAAGUAGCUUGCCAUACUUGUGGAGGAAGUUUUAGAUCUUUUGAGGCAGGCUGUGCCACCUUAAAUCUGGAUCAUUUGCAGAUCAUUGAA
rnacentral:lncRNA from 1 species